AGAGUUUGAUCAUGGCUCAGAUUGAACGCUGGCGGCAGGCCUAACACAUGCAAGUCGAGCGGUAGCACAGAGAGCUUGCUCUCGGGUGACGAGCGGCGGACGGGUGAGUAAUGUCUGGGAAACUGCCUGAUGGAGGGGGAUAACUACUGGAAACGGUAGCUAAUACCGCAUAACGUCGCAAGACCAAAGUGGGGGACCUUCGGGCCUCAUGCCAUCAGAUGUGCCCAGAUGGGAUUAGCUAGUAGGUGGGGUAACGGCUCACCUAGGCGACGAUCCCUAGCUGGUCUGAGAGGAUGACCAGCCACACUGGAACUGAGACACGGUCCAGACUCCUACGGGAGGCAGCAGUGGGGAAUAUUGCACAAUGGGCGCAAGCCUGAUGCAGCCAUGCCGCGUGUGUGAAGAAGGCCUUCGGGUUGUAAAGCACUUUCAGCGGGGAGGAAGGCGNNNNNNNNNNNNNNNNNNNNNNNNNNNNNNNNNNNNNNCGAUUGACGUUACCCGCAGAAGAAGCACCGGCUAACUCCGUGCCAGCAGCCGCGGUAAUACGGAGGGUGCAAGCGUUAAUCGGAAUUACUGGGCGUAAAGCGCACGCAGGCGGUCUGUCAAGUCGGAUGUGAAAUCCCCGGGCUCAACCUGGGAACUGCAUUCGAAACUGGCAGGCUAGAGUCUUGUAGAGGGGGGUAGAAUUCCAGGUGUAGCGGUGAAAUGCGUAGAGAUCUGGAGGAAUACCGGUGGCGAAGGCGGCCCCCUGGACAAAGACUGACGCUCAGGUGCGAAAGCGUGGGGAGCAAACAGGAUUAGAUACCCUGGUAGUCCACGCCGUAAACGAUGUCGAUUUGGAGGUUGUGCCCUUGAGGCGUGGCUUCCGGAGCUAACGCGUUAAAUCGACCGCCUGGGGAGUACGGCCGCAAGGUUAAAACUCAAAUGAAUUGACGGGGGCCCGCACAAGCGGUGGAGCAUGUGGUUUAAUUCGAUGCAACGCGAAGAACCUUACCUGGUCUUGACAUCCACAGAACUUNUUGGUGCCUUCGGGAACUGUGAGACAGGUGCUGCAUGGCUGUCGUCAGCUCGUGUUGUGAAAUGUUGGGUUAAGUCCCGCAACGAGCGCAACCCUUAUCCUUUGUUGCCAGCGGUUAGGCCGGGAACUCAAAGGAGACUGCCAGUGAUAAACUGGAGGAAGGUGGGGAUGACGUCAAGUCAUCAUGGCCCUUACGACCAGGGCUACACACGUGCUACAAUGGCAUAUACAAAGAGAAGCGACCUCGCGAGAGCAAGCGGACCUCAUAAAGUAUGUCGUAGUCCGGAUUGGAGUCUGCAACUCGACUCCAUGAAGUCGGAAUCGCUAGUAAUCGUAGAUCAGAAUGCUACGGUGAAUACGUUCCCGGGCCUUGUACACACCGCCCGUCACACCAUGGGAGUGGGUUGCAAAAGAAGUAGGUAGCUUAACCUUCGGGAGGGCGCUUACCACUUUGUGAUUCAUGACUGGGGUGAAGUCGUAACAAGGUAACCGUAGGGGAACCUGCGGUUGGAUCACCU
rnacentral:rRNA from 1 species